AUACGUAGGGGGCGCAAGCGUUGUUCGGAAUUACUGGGCGUAAAGGGCGGGCAGGCGGUCUGCUCAGUCUUCUGUGAAAAUCCGGGGCUCAACCCCGCGAAAUGCAGAAGAUACUGGCAGACUAGAGACCGGUAGAGGCUAGCGGAAUUCCUGGUGUAGCGGUGGAAUGCGUAGAUAUCAGGAAGAACACCUGUGGCGAAGGCGGCUAGCUGGGCCGGAUCUGACGCUCAUCCGCGAAAGCGUGGGGAGCAAACAGGAUUAGAUACCCCGGUAGUCC
rnacentral:rRNA from 1 species